UACAGAGGGGGCAAGCGUUAUUCGGAAUUAUUGGGCGUAAAGAGCUCGUAGGCGGCUUGUCACGUCGGGUGUGAAAGCCCGGGGCUUAACCCCGGGUCUGCAUUCGAUACGGGCUAGCUAGAGUGUGGUAGGGGAGAUCGGAAUUCCUGGUGUAGCGGUGAAAUGCGCAGAUAUCAGGAGGAACACCGGUGGCGAAGGCGGAUCUCUGGACCAUUACUGACGCUGAGGAGCGAAAGCGUGGGGAGCGAACAGG
rnacentral:rRNA from 1 species